rnacentral:lncRNA from 1 species
GGGGAUCCAAUCAAGGACUUUUCAUGGAGAAGGCUGGGCGGUCACAGUGCUGGUCCCCUGGUGCUAGGUCUUCUCACCUGCUUUCUUGGCUGGCUGAGCCCCUGGGAAACCGGGAGGUCACAGAGAAGCUGAGGCCCCAUGCUGAUACCCUCAUAAGGAAACUGUAGCUUCUUGUUCCCUAGACUUCUUUGACCCAGUAUGGGCACCAUGGGAACCUGACGGCCCGGGCCCUGGACCCCCAACUGAGACCCACCCCGGGAGAAGCCUGGACCAAAGAGACUGAGUGGGGAUCAGGGCUCAGCCGCAGUAGGGCACGGGGGUCUGGAACAGCCCUGGUCCCCACGUCCUGAGAAUUCCCUUGGAGGGGACCCACCUUCAGGCAGAGGCUCCCAUUUUGGACUUUGUGUGAGUGAUUCAUAACUGGUUUCCUGUUGACCGUUAUACAUGUGCAGUUGUUUACAGCUUGCAGUGUCUCGGCUCAUUCAUCACCUCCCCCCCAUCCACAGAGCAACAUGGCUUUGUGGGGGUCACGGCAUUACCACGUCCACUCCAGUCCCUGCCUGUUGUUCUCUGAUGGAGACACAGCACCUGCUGGAUCACAGGACGAGGUGCCACCUGUGGGCUGUAGAUGAAGAUCACCCACUGCAGGAGGACCUGGGACGUGCGGAUCCAGGAGUUGACAUGACACGUGGGGAUCCAGGAGGUGACAUGACACGUGUGGAUCCAGGAGGUGACAUGACACGUGCGGAUCCAGGGGGUGACAUGACACGUGCGGAUCCAGGGGGUGACAUGACACGUGUGGAUCCAGGGGGUGACAUGACACGUGUGGAUCCAGGGGGUGACAUGACACGUGCGGAUCCAGGAGGUGACAUGACAUGUGCGGAUCCAGGGGGUGACAUGACACGUGCGGAUCCAGGGGGUGACAUGACACGUGCGGAUCCAGGGGGUGACAUGACACGUGUGGAUCCAGGGGGUGACAUGACACGUGCGGAUCCAGGAGAUGUGAGACGUGUGUGGAUCCAGGAGAUGAUGUCGGAUGUGAAGAUCCAGGAUACAACAUCAGAUGGGAGCAUGUUGUUGGAGAGAUAUUAUCAGAAAUAAAGAAUCCAGCAAAGAUGCUCCCAAUUAAAAGAUGUUUAAUAGGCAGAUGUUUUGGGAUGCGCCUCCAGGAGGUGACUUGGGGUGGGUGGGUCUGAGAUGAGGCAUGUCCAGUGCAGUACCGAGUGAACGUCCUGAUCUCGUGAGCCCACACCAUGGUCCCC